rnacentral:rRNA from 1 species
GACGAACGCUGGCGGCGUGCUUAACACAUGCAAGUCGAGCGGUAAGGCUCCUUCGGGAGUACACGAGCGGCGAACGGGUGAGUAACACGUGAGCAACCUGCCCUUCUCAUCGGAAUAAGCGUUGGAAACGACGUCUAAUGCCGAAUAUGACCUCCUUUCGCAUGAUCGGAGGUGGAAAGCGCCGGCGGAGAAGGAUGGGCUCGCGGCCUAUCAGCUUGUUGGGGGGGUAACGGCCCACCAAGGCGACGACGGGUAGCCGGACUGAGAGGGUGACCGGCCACACUGGGACUGAGACGCGGCCCAGACUCCUACGGGAGGCAGCAGUGGGGAAUUUUCCACAAUGGGGGCAACCCUGAUGGAGCGACACCGCGUGAAGGAUGAAGGUCUAACGAUUGUAAACUGCUUUUCUGAGGGAGCAUAAUGAGAGUACCUUAGGAAUAAGGGACGGCAAAAUACGUGCCAGCCGCCGCAGUAA